AAGUGAUGGGUGUGCAGGGUUUGCUGAGCAGCUAAUUACCCUCUCCUUUGGUAAUCCAGCUUUCCACAGGGUCAGGAGAGCUGCUGCUGCCAGGUGUGUGUGCUGUGCCAGUGGGAGGCUGCAGAGAGCCCUGGACCUGCAGCUCCUCAGACAGGGAGCUGUGCCGUUGCUGUUCCAGCUCGUCCCUGUCACAGCAGGGACCCUGCCUGCUCCAGUAGCCUGACCAGGGGUCCUGGAAUCCACGUGUGGCUCUGCAGCCAUGGGAGGUGGUUUUUCCCUCUUUCCACAAGCAGGAGUUGAUUUCCCACCUGACCCUGUGGUUUGGGAUUUUGAGGAGAUGAUCUCAUAGAGCUGAACCAGUUGGACCAGUGGGCGAGGACUGGUGCCUGGCCUCACUGCAGUGGGGGUGGUGAGGCAGCUGUGUCACCAGGAGAGCACGGAGGGCACGGGCAGGACGUGCCAGGCUCCAGCACACACAGGGCUCUGCUGCAGCAGUUUCAGCCCGGGACAGCCGUGAGCAGCUCCUGCACCACACCGGGAGAUGGACCCCC